UAGGUUAAAUUAAAAGUAUAUUCUGCCCUAUGAAAAAUUAAAUGGCUGCAGUAUCUUGACUGUACAAAGGUAGCAUAAUAAUUAGUCUUUUAAUUGAGGACUUGUAUGAAUGAAUUUAUGAGAUAUUAGUUUUAUUAAUUUUAAUAUUAAAAUUUAAUUUUUAAGUAAAAAAGCUUAAUUUUUUUUUUGGGACGAUAAGACCCUAUAGAACUUUAAUUUAAUUUUAAUUUUAAAAAUUUUGGUUUUAUAUUAUUUAUUUUAAAAUUAAAUUUUAGUUGGGGUGACUGAUAAAUUUGACUUUAUCUUUUUAUUUCAUUAUAAAUGUUCAUUUGAUCCAAUUUUUGAUUUUAAGAUAAAGUUACCUUAGGGAUAACAGCGUAAUUUUAAUGGGGAGUUCAUAUUUAUAUUAAAGUUUGCGACCUCGAUGUUGAAUUAAAAUUAUGGUUUGGUGCAG
rnacentral:rRNA from 1 species